AACAGCUUAGGAUUUGCAAACUC
rnacentral:piRNA from 1 species